GACGAACGCUGGCGGCGUGCCUAAUACAUGCAAGUUGAGCGCUGAAGGUUGGUACUUGUACCAACUGGAUGAGCAGCGAACGGGUGAGUAACGCGUGGGGAAUCUGCCUUUGAGCGGGGGACAACAUUUGGAAACGAAUGCUAAUACCGCAUAAAAACUUUAAACACAAGUUUUAAGUUUGAAAGAUGCAAUUGCAUCACUCAAAGAUGAUCCCGCGUUGUAUUAGCUAGUUGGUGAGGUAAAGGCUCACCAAGGCGAUGAUACAUAGCCGACCUGAGAGGGUGAUCGGCCACAUUGGGACUGAGACACGGCCCAAACUCCUACGGGAGGCAGCAGUAGGGAAGCUUCGGCAAUGGACGAAAGUCUGACCGAGCAACGCCGCGUGAGUGAAGAAGGUUGUCGGACCGUAAAACUCUGUUGGUAGAGAAGAACGUUGGUGAGAGUGGAAAGCUCAUCAAGUGACGGUAACUACCCAGAAAGGGACGGCUAACUACGUG
rnacentral:rRNA from 1 species